GUCACUUGGUUCGAGACUUGGGCGAGAGAGAAAGAAGAUAAAAUAUGAGGAAUCAAUUAUUGGAAAAUGUAGUAUCCCAAACCAUCUGAAAUAGAGUUAAAGAGAGCAGAUUUCUUUUUCAAACGUACUUUCGAUGUUGAUACGCUUGUAGUCGAUGAUAAAUUUCCGGAUAAGAUUGAUGGAGUUGAAGACAAAGUCCAGCAGCUGGUUGAAGAAAAAGAUGUAGCAUCCCUUGAUGAGAUUUCUUGUUCAGAGGUCUGUUGUUGGUUUAAGUCCCUAUAUGUUAUUUACUUUACACCUGAGAACUGAAAUAAAACAUCUGCUCAUUGGAGUAUGCUUCUGUUUUGAUAAGGAGUUUAUUUGUGUUGCUUGCUUUGAUGUGCAAGGUUGGGAAGAUUAUGUUAGAAUGGAACAAUAAUAAGGCUUUUUGAAAAGAUUAUGAGAAGAAUGUUGUGCAUUCAUCCGAGAGACGACGAUUAAGUAGAUGGGUGAAAAAGGCAAAUCUUUCUACGCGAAUAUAUCUUCUAAAAAAGAACGUGGAUUGCGCGUGUACACCCCAUAUUGUGAAGGAAAUGAGGAUGAAAGACACUUGGUUUUUGGAGUGCACACACGCGGUGAAGGUUUGGCGUGAAGUUGGUUUGUGAAAUGCAAUAACAAGAAUGCCGCGGCCUGGUGCCUUGUUCAGAUCUAUCUUUUGUAAGCUGUUGAUUUCUGAGUGAACAAAAGUGUUAGUACUAUGCUAUGCUUGUGUGGAUGAUAUGGAAGAGACGGAACAAGAAGAUUUGGGAAAACAUUGAGAAAACUUUACUAUGCUUGUGUGGAUGUGCCUUUUUCAACUCAAAAAAUCAUUGCCGUCAAACUUCACCCAGACAGCUUUGUGAAUUGAUGAUUGCUGCAAUUUAUUUUCUCCCACUAGACUAAGGAUUUACAUAGUUUUUGAAAUUUCGUUGCUUGCCGAAAGGAAUUAAGCUAUUGCAUGUUUAUAUUGCAAUUCGAGGAGCUUCUAAGGAGACUUGUAUAUAAUUAUCAACCAUAAAACCAACUAC